rnacentral:rRNA from 1 species
UACAGAGGUCUCAAGCGUUGUUCGGAAUUACUGGGCGUAAAGCGCACGUAGGCGGAUUGCUAAGUCAGAGGUGAAAUCCCGGAGCUCAACUUCGGAACUGCCUUUGAUACUGGCAAUCUAGAGUCCGGAAGAGGUUAGUGGAAUUCCCAGUGUAGAGGUGAAAUUCGUAGAUAUUGGGAAGAACACCAGUGGCGAAGGCGGCUAACUGGUCCGGUACUGACGCUGAGGUGCGAAAGCGUGGGGAGCAAACAGG